AGCGCAAUCCUUUACCUUUUCCAAAUUCAUCAUUCAUGUUCAUUAUCAUACAAUUGCUUCAUCAAUGGCAAUUUCUCAAGUGCAUUUCUCUAAGUUGAAGGCCGGCGGCUGCAGAUAUACUGUUCAGAUUAUACUACUUUGCUUUGGGAUGUCCGAAAUGUGAAGAAAGGCAGUAAGCUGCUGGGAGUUGCUACGCUGCUUAUUGAUUCGCAGUUUAGGGUCCGUGAAGGGGAAGAAAUUUCGUCCUCCAAGCCUACAAAAUAUGGGUUAACACAUUACCAUGGUCAUGCUUCAUAACUUGAUUGAACUGCAUCCAUGUGUCCCUGACAGCAAAGUUUCUCUGCACAGGGGUGGUUGGUGGCAUUGACACAGCUAAUGGCUGGUGCUAGAUUUCAUGCUCCAAGUGCACACGCAAGCUGCAACGUCGAUUCUCAUCAUUCACAUGCACUGCCUUUCAUAAUGAAAACGCAGUAGGAGUUGUUAGGUAGUACAUUUCAUUCUGUAUCAUUCAUCGUUCAGACUUUAAAAUAUGUCACCUUCAGUGGUCUCGCACGUAACAGUUUGUAUGGUUGUCUGUGUGGUAGGUACUGUGUUCAGUUGAAGGUCUCUCAUGCUUAGGACUGCAGAUUUUGUGGCUUUUGACACUGAAAUAACGAAGCUUACCAAUGUCCGGCCAGGGAAGUAUCCCAACUAAUGGUAAACAUCGCAACCUCCUUGGUUGCUUCUUUUUAAAUCGUCAGAACCAGGAGACAUGCAAACAAUAGUCAACAACGUUAACAUGUUCUCCACACUAUGGACCACCAUUUUUACUUGCGUUAUUCUGUAAAAGAGGAAGAAUUGGGCUAUGUUGGCUGUCAAAAAUAUGGGAGAGAUAGUGAAACUGUGAUGUUUGGAAGAGAAGUUGAAUGGAGAAAGCCACACGAGUCCAAGUUAUAGGUGAUAAAUGGCUGCUCGAUCUAUUGCUUUAUGUUUCGAUUCAGAUCUUAUCCGACUUCUUUCAUGGUUUCUCAUAUAAGGAUAAGAAUUAGGAGAAGCACACGCCAGGACCAAAGCUCCAAGGCGACUUAAUAUGUGUGUUUCUAGGGAACUUUAUUAACAAAACACAUUUCUCCAGUGGAGAUUAUCCUCGAGAGUUGAAUUCUUCUUCUCAAUGUUGUUGUGUAGCCAAAUCCUGAUCAUCUCACUCCUCAACUUCUUAGUUUUGUCAAUCAAAUGUUACCGUCACCAUAUCUCCCUAUUCGUCUUAUUCUCAUAUAAUUAAUUAAUAUAUAUGGCAGCUCGUUUUGCAAACGUUACUUGUCUGUUGAUCUUGUUCUCUAUCCUCUUCAGCUCUACUCUUCCCCUUCCCAUUUUUUUGUUGUUGUUCUAUAGUUUUCUCUUUUAUAUAUAUGCACACAAAUAUUGGUAUGUAAAUUUAUAUCUAUAUACAGAGACACACAAAAAAUCUGAAAUCUGAUCUUUUUGUUCUUUAGGGUCUUGAGAAGCAGAUAUGCCCUAACUUCAAGAACAAGACCAUAGGGUUCUUGUUUCUCUCUCUCUUUAUGUGUUUGGAAGUGUGUGGAGGAUACCCUAUAUAUAUUUUACAUUACAAUAAAGCUAUAUAUCAGGUGGAAUCUGAAAUAAAGACAAACCCUAAACUCAAACCUGAAAUUAGUAGGCAGCCCCACCACUUGAUUCCAAACAGAAACAAAUAGCGUCCUAACACAAUAAUAGAUAGGCUACUUUGAAAAUUAAAGUACAUGCUAGAUUGAACGUAUAGACAUGAGUAGGGUGAAACACCGACCGCUGAUGGUGCAGAUGAGACCCCUCUAUAUGACAGGAACACUGGAGAUGAUGAACAUGCUGAAGAAGCUGGUCGUUCCCGCAAGAAGAUACGUAAAGCAUAAACGACAACACUCGGAGACUCGGAGUUGUGUGUCAGACUACACUGUCACAACCAUGUUGCAUAAGUACGACUGCUAAGUACAACACUCGGAGACUCGGAGUUGUGCUGGCUUUUUAAUUUGUCAAACUCUGGAUAAGUACGACUGCUACUCAUUCUAAUCCAUGUUAUGGUUUUCAUGGUGUUUAUUUUUUUUGAUAAAAAUUCAUGGUGUUAAUUUAUAUUGUGGCAACCUUACAUU